UACGUAGGGUGCAAGCGUUGUCCGGAAUUAUUGGGCGUAAAGAGCUCGUAGGCGGUCUGUCGCGUCGGCUGUGAAAACCUGGGGCUCAACUCCGGGCCUGCAGCCGAUACGGGCAGACUAGAAUUCGGUAGGGGAGACUGGAAUUCCUGGUGUAGCGGUGAAAUGCGCAGAUAUCAGGAGGAACACCGGUGGCGAAGGCGGGUCUCUGGGCCGAUAUUGACGCUGAGGAGCGAAAGCGUGGGGAGCGAACAGG
rnacentral:rRNA from 1 species